CAAGUCGCACGAGAAAGCGGGAGCAAUCUCGCAAGUACAGUGGCGUACGGGUGAGUAACACGUGGAUCAUCUGCCCUGGAGUGGGGAAUAACGCUGGGAAACCGGCGCUAAUACCGCAUAUUCCCGAGAGGGGAAAGCAGCAAUGCGCUCGAGGAGGAGUCCGCGGCCGAUUAGCUAGUUGGUAGGGUAAAAGCCUACCAAGGCUGUGAUCGGUAGCCGGCCUGAGAGGGCACACGGCCACACUGGCACUGAAACACGGGCCAGACUCCUACGGGAGGCAGCAGUGGGGAAUCUUGCACAAUGGGGGAAACCCUGAUGCAGCGACGCCGCGUGAGCGAUGAAGCCCUUCGGGGUGUAAAGCUCUUUCGGCAGGGAAGAUUAUGACGGUACCUGCAGAAGCAGCUGCGGCUAACUACGUGCCAGCAGCCGCGGUAAUACGUAGGCAGCAAGCGUUGUUCGGAGUUACUGGGCGUAAAGGGUGUGUAGGCGGCCUGUUAAGUUCCGUGUGAAAUCUCCCGGCUCAACCGGGAGGGUGCGCGGAAAACUGGCGGGCUAGAGUGCGGGAUGGGAGAGUAGAAUUCCUGGUGUAGCGGUGAAAUGCGUAGAUAUCAGGAGGAAUACCGGUGGUGUAGACGGCUCUCUGGACCGCAACUGACGCUGAAACACGAAAGCGUGGGUAGCAAACAGGAUUAGAUACCCUGGUAGUCCACGCCCUAAACGAUGCAUAUUUGGUGUAGGUCAUUCAGUUGAUCUGUGCCGGAGCUAACGCGUUAAAUAUGCCGCCUGGGGAGUACAGUCGCAAGGCUGAAACUCAAAGGAAUUGACGGGGGCCCGCACAAGCGGUGGAGCAUGUGGUUCAAUUCGACGCA
rnacentral:rRNA from 1 species